UCCCGGGUCGUUCAACGGCAGGACAGAGGUUUUUGGUGCCUUUAAUUGGGGUUCGAAUCCCUGCCCGGGAA
rnacentral:tRNA from 1 species